AGGGAUGUAGCGUAGCUUGGUAGCGUAUUUGUUUUGGGUACAAAAUGGUGUAGGUUCAAAUCCUAUCAUCCCUA
rnacentral:tRNA from 1 species